rnacentral:misc_RNA from 1 species
CAACCUCAUCCCCACCGGGUCUUCCUGUGUGGGGUUGGAUCUGGGCGUCUGCCGUCCUUAACAAACGGCUCGCCUUAAAAGUCUCAGUGGGACCGACCCUUUGUGUCGACGUGUUAAGUCUUCGUCGUCUUCUGGGCCUGGGCUCGCUCAUAACCCGCCUUCACCGGCAAUACACUCUUGACU